rnacentral:rRNA from 1 species
UACGUAGGGUGCGAGCGUUAAUCGGAAUUACUGGGCGUAAAGUGUGCGCAGGCGGCCGAGCAAGUCGAGUGUGAAAGCCCCGGGCUUAACUUGGGAAUUGCGCUCGAAACUACUUGGCUGGAGUGUGGCAGAGGAAGGUGGAAUUCCGAGGUGUAGCGGUGAAAUGCGUAGAGAUCUGGAGGAACACCGAUGGCGAAGGCAGCCUUCUGGGCCAACACUGACGCUCAUGCACGAAAGCGUGGGGAGCAAACAGG